UACGGGGGGAGCAAGCGUUGUUCGGAUUUACUGGGCGUAAAGGGCGCGUAGGCGGCGCAACAAGUCACUUGUGAAAUCUCCGGGCUUAACCCGGAGCGGCCAAGUGAUACUGUCGUGCUAGAGUGCGGAAGGGGCUACUGGAAUUCUCGGUGUAGCGGUGAAAUGCGUAGAUAUCUGGAGGAACACCGGUGGCGAAGGCGGCAUCCUGGACCAACACUGACGCUGAGGAGCGAAAGCCAGGGGAGCAAACGGG
rnacentral:rRNA from 1 species